GUUGGUCUAUUUGAGGACACAAAUCUCUGUGCUAUUCAUGCCAAGAGGGUUACUAUUAUGCCUAAAGAUAUCCAGCUAGCAAGGAGGAUUAGGGGUGAGAGGGCGUAGAAGAGAUGAUUUAUAUAGUUAUGUGUUGGGUGUCCUCUUAGCUGGUGUUUGUAAAUUGUUUCCAAUCUAAUAGCUAAUUGGAUUUGAUGUUUGGACUCUCGUGUUGGUUCAAAAUGCUCAAUUAUAGUAGUAACCCUCUUGGC
rnacentral:misc_RNA from 1 species